rnacentral:rRNA from 1 species
GAAGCGAACCCGGAGAACUGAACCAUCUAAGUACCCGGAGGAAAAGAAAUCAACCGAGAUUCCGCAAGUAGUGGCGAGCGAACGCGGAGGAGCCUGUACGUAAUAACUGUCGAGAUAGAAGAACAAGCUGGGAAGCUUGACCAUAGUGGGUGAUAGUCCCGUAUUCGAAAUCUCAACAGUGGUACUAAGCGUACGAAAAGUAGGGCGGGACACGUGAAAUCCUGUCUGAAUAUGGGGGGACCAUCCUCCAAGGCUAAAUACUCAUCAUCGACCGAUAGUGAACCAGUACCGUGAGGGAAAGGCGAAAAGAACCCCGGGAGGGGAGUGAAAUAGAACCUGAAACCUGAUGCAUACAAACAGUGGGAGCACCCAUGUGGUGUGACUGCGUACCUUUUGUAUAAUGGGUCAACGACUUACAUUCAGUAGCGAGCUUAACCGAAUAGGGGAGGCGUAGGGAAACCGAGUCUUAAUAGGGCGAACAGUUGCUGGGUGUAGACCCGAAACCGAGUGAUCUAUCCAUGGCCAGGUUGAAGGUGCCGUAACAGGUACUGGAGGACCGAACCCACGCAUGUUGCAAAAUGCGGGGAUGAGCUGUGGAUAGGGGUGAAAGGCUAAACAAACUCGGAGAUAGCUGGUUCUCCCCGAAAACUAUUUAGGUAGUGCCUCGAGCAAGACACUGAUGGGGGUAAAGCACUGUUAUGGCUAGGGGGUUAUUGCAACUUACCAACCCAUGGCAAACUAAGAAUACCAUCAAGUGGUUCCUCGGGAGACAGACAGCGGGUGCUAACGUCCGUUGUCAAGAGGGAAACAACCCAGACCGCCAGCUAAGGUCCCAAAUGAUAGAUUAAGUGGUAAACGAAGUGGGAAGGCCCAGACAGCCAGGAUGUUGGCUUAGAAGCAGCCAUCAUUUAAAGAAAGCGUAAUAGCUCACUGGUCGAGUCGUCCUGCGCGGAAGAUGUAACGGGGCUCAAAUCUAUAACCGAAGCUGCGGAUGCCAGUUUACUGGCAUGGUAGGGGAGCGUUCUGUAGGCCGAUGAAGGUGCAUUGUAAAGUGUGCUGGAGGUAUCAGAAGUGCGAAUGUUGACAUGAGUAGCGAUAAAGCGGGUGAAAAGCCCGCUCGCCGAAAGCCCAAGGUUUCCUACGCAACGUUCAUCGGCGUAGGGUGAGUCGGCCCCUAAGGCGAGGCAGAAAUGCGUAGUCGAUGGGAAACAGGUUAAUAUUCCUGUACUUGAUUCAAAUGCGAUGUGGGGACGGAGAAGGUUAGGUUAGCAAGCUGUUGGAAUAGCUUGUUUAAGCCGGUAGGUGGAAGACUUAGGCAAAUCCGGGUCUUCUUAACACCGAGAAGUGACGACGAGUGUCUACGGACAUGAAGUAACCGAUACCACGCUUCCAGGAAAAGCCACUAAGCUUCAGUUUGAAUCGAACCGUACCGCAAACCGACACAGGUGGGCAGGAUGAGAAUUCUAAGGCGCUUGAGAGAACUCGGGAGAAGGAACUCGGCAAAUUGAUACCGUAACUUCGGGAGAAGGUAUGCCCUCUAAGGUUAAGGACUUGCUCCGUAAGCCUCGGAGGGUCGCAGAGAAUAGGUGGCUGCGACUGUUUAUUAAAAACACAGCACUCUGCUAACACGAAAGUGGACGUAUAGGGUGUGACGCCUGCCCGGUGCUGGAAGGUUAAUUGAAGAUGUGAGAGCAUCGGAUCGAAGCCCCAGUAAACGGCGGCCGUAACUAUAACGGUCCUAAGGUAGCGAAAUUCCUUGUCGGGUAAGUUCCGACCCGCACGAAUGGCGUAACGAUGGCCACACUGUCUCCUCCCGAGACUCAGCGAAGUUGAAGUGGUUGUGAAGAUGCAAUCUACCCGCUGCUAGACGGAAAGACCCCGUGAACCUUUACUGUAGCUUUGCAUUGGACUUUGAAGUCACUUGUGUAGGAUAGGUGGGAGGCUUAGAAGCAGAGACGCCAGUCUCUGUGGAGCCGUCCUUGAAAUACCACCCUGGUGUCUUUGAGGUUCUAACCCAGACCCGUAAUCCGGGUCGGGGACCGUGCAUGGUAGGCAGUUUGACUGGGGCGGUCUCCUCCCAAAGAGUAACGGAGGAGUUCGAAGGUUACCUAGGUCCGGUCGGAAAUCGGACUGAUAGUGCAAUGGCAAAAGGUAGCUUAACUGCGAGACCGACAAGUCGAGCAGGUGCGAAAGCAGGACAUAGUGAUCCGGUGGUUCUGAAUGGAAGGGCCAUCGCUCAACGGAUAAAAGGUA